UAUAAAUUGGUUUCAGGGCUUUCCUCUCUGAUGGUGAUUUGUUGUGGCUGGGAUGUGUCCUGCUGGGCUGCAGGUGGGGGCUUUCCCUACCUGGGCUUCUUUGUGCCAUCUCAGGGCAGGAAUCCCAGGGCUGUACCUACCCCAAAAACCUCGUCCACGCGUUGAAGGCAGCAAGAAGGAUUGCCACACCAACACUGAUGCUCUCUGUGGGGCAGGCAGCCGUGCUCUGGGGACAGCCGCAGCAUCGUACAGUGACCUGAGAGCCUGCUGGAAGCCAGCGGGAGAGGGAGCAGUGCGUGUGAUCUGGAGGGGUGCUGCAAGAGUGACCGGCGUGAUGGAAAGCAUCCCUGUCACGCUGAGCUCUCAGGAUGUUUGGGUAAUCCUAAAAGACUGCUUGGAGAAGUGGAAAGACGCAGGGAGAUGAAGAAACCAGGAGGCUGGCACAGCUGGCUGUGGGAAUGAUCAGAGGCACUAGUGCCAUAUUGCACCUCUGCACGUGGCCGUGUUGGUCCGUUACAGCUCUUUGCUGGAAGGCAGCUGGCAUCCAGGUAGCUCCACUGGAGGCGUCUGCAGUGAGUCAAGCAGCAAACGGGCCACAAAACAUCAGUGACAAGCCAGAGGCCGUGGAGAAGGAUUGCUGGCACCUCCUCAGGGCAGUGCAGUCUGUCUGUCCUGCCUGCCCCCAGCCGGAUGGGCUCAGCCUGGAUCCCGUUGGUGUGAGGGGAUGGGGUGAGCACGCAGAGAGCACUAACAGUGCUGCCAUGUGCUUAGAAGCACAGGUGUGCUGGGGACGCAGGUGGCACAUGCCUGAGGCUGCCUUUGCCUGCAUGAACCUGAUAUUUGUUGUCUUUUUAACCCAGGGUUACCAACGAAACAAAGAUUAAGUGACUGUUUGCUCUUGCUGUGC
rnacentral:lncRNA from 1 species